UAUUCUGUAGCUUAGUUGGUUGAAGCACCGGACUAGCAUUACGGAGUCGUGGGUUCGAGUCCCGCAAAAAUAA
rnacentral:tRNA from 1 species